GCCAUUUUCACAGAUCUAUAGUGCAGUCUGGAGCCCAUAUUUCACUUUACAACAUCUCACUUUUCAACAUUACCAUUUUUCAACAUUACCAUUUUUCAACAUUACCAUUUUUCAAAAUGCUGAAGUGAGGCAAGGAUGAAAUUAAAAACAGAUCCGUGUGUGACAGUUCGAAACAGUUUCUCUUUAUUGGCAGUAGGGACUAUAAAGUCAACGUCUUACAGUAGGUACAGUAUCAGCAGUUUCAUUAGGUACAGUAUCAUUUUCUGUUUAGGUACAGGGCAGUUUAGUGGCAUCUUCAAGCCGCUAACUGUCUAGUCAAGGUAGUACAACUCUCAACGCAGUACUCUCAAGGUAGUACAACUCUCAACGCAGUACUCUCAAGGUAGUACAACUCUCAACGCAGUACUCUCAAGGUAGUACAAUGUAGUACUCUCAAGGUAGUACAACUCUCAACGUAGUACUCUCAAGGUAGCACAACUCUCAACGCAGUACUCUCAAGGUAGUACAAUGUAGUACUCUCAAGGUAGUACAACUCUCAACGUAGUACUCUCAAGGUAGUACAACUCUCGACGCAGUAUUUUCAAGGUAGCACAACUCUCAACGCAGUACUCUCAAGGUAGUACAACUCUCAACGCAGUACUCUCAAGGUAGUACAACUCUCGACGCAGUAUUUUCAAGGUAGCACAACUCUCAACGCAGUACUCUCAAGGUAGUACAAUGUAGUACUCUCAAGGUAGUACAACUCUCGACGUAGUAUUUUCAAGGUAGCACAACUCUCAACGCAGUACUCUCAAGGUAGUACAAUGUAGUACUCUCAAGGUAGUACAAUGUAGUACUCUCAAGGUAGCACAACUCUCAACGCAGUAUUCUCAAGGUAGUACAAUGUAGUACUCUCAAGGUAGUACAACUCUCGACGUAGUAUUUUCAAGGUAGCACAACUCUCAACGCAGUACUCUCAAGGUAGUACAAUGUAGUACUCUCAAGGUAGUACAACUCUCAACGUAGUACUCUCAAGGUAGUACAACUCUCAACGUAGUAUUCUCAAGGUAGUAUUCUCAAGGUAGUACAAUGUAGUACUCUCAAGGUAGUACAACUCUCUACGUAGUACUCUCAAGGUAGUACAACUCUCAACGCAGUACUCUCAAGGUAGUACAACUCUCAAUGUGGUAUUCUCAAGGUAGUACAACUCUCAACGCAGUACUCUCAAGGUAGUACAACUGUCAACGUAGUACUCUCAAGGUAGUACAACUCUCAACGCAGUACUCUCAAGGUAGUACAACUCUCAACAUAGUACUAUCAAGGUAGUACAACUCUCAACAUAGUACUCUCAAGGUAGUACAACUCUCAACGUAGUAUUCUCAAGGUAGUACAAUGUAGUACUCUCAAGGUAGUACAACUCUCUACGUAGUACUCUCAAGGUAGUACAACUCUCAACAUAGUACUCUCAAGGUAGUACAACUCUCAACGUAGUAUUCUCAAGGUAGUAUUCUCAAGGUAGUACAAUGUAGUACUCUCAAGGUAGUACAACUCUCUACGUAGUACUCUCAAGGUAUUACAACUCUCAACAUAGUACUCCCAACGUAGUACAACUCUGCACAACACAGGGUAGUAGAGUAACAUCCAGGAAUAGUCCAUGUACAGUACAGUAAUACAGUCAACAGAACACUUCAGAGCUGUCUAAAGUUCAUAGCAUGGCUUCAGUACUAAACCCUCAGUAAACCACCAAAACAAUUACUCAACACACUGUUUUAGUUUUAGCUAAGUUUUAGAUUUUAGUUUUGGUCUGUUGUUUUUUUGAAUAAACACUACAAGAGUUGGAAUACAGAUUAAUGGCAACAUAUUUCCUCCGCACCAGCAAGUAUUCAGUGAACAGAUGUCCAGUCCGUACAGUAGAAGAUAAAACCCCCUUUUCCCCUCAGUAGUAGGAACAACACAAACAGCUGUUUGAGGCCUGCACCUCUCCUUGUGCUGCCCUCCAAACAUGUACAUUUCAUUAAAGCAUACAUACAAUAUGUACAGCUUAUAUCAGAUAUAUAAAUAGUUACUACUGUGGUUAUUACGGCGGACAAGGAGAGAACGAAUCACAACAUUCAAGUCCAUUAGUAGUACAUCAGGGAAGAACUCAUAGGCCUGAGUCCUAAACACCACCCUCUUCUCUAGAUAGUUCACUACUUGUGAUCAGAGCUCUAUGGGCCUGCUCAAAUGUAGUGCACUUUAAAGGCUCUAGGGUCCCAUUUGGAACGCAGACCUUUGUCCUCCUGGCUAAUAUGGCCAUUAAGCCCACAUAGUGGAUAGAUACAACUCUACUAACAGUAAACAAUAUGCACGGACGGUUAACGUUUUAUGUGUUCAAAACCUUUUUUCUUUUUUAAUCACAAAUAAUAAUACCAGAUUUCAUCCAUAAGUACAUACAAAAAGUGAAAUGUUUCUCAAUUCAUUGUCACACAACAAACAACCAUCUGUAUCCUCCUUGGUCGAACACUUGCACAUUUUCAGCAGCAAGAUAGAUUCCUAUGUGGUCCUUAUAGAUAUGCCUGUCCACAUGAUGUUUAAUGGUCCUUAUAGAUAUGCCUGUCCACAUGAUGUUUAAUGGUCCUUAUAGAUAUGCCUGUCCACAUGAUGUUUAAUGGUCCUUAUAGAUAUGCCUGUCCACAUGAUGUUUAAUGGUCCUUAUAGAUAUGCCUGUCCACAUGAUGUUUAAUGGUCCUUAUAGAUAUGCCUGUCCACAUUAUGUUUAAUGGUCCUUAUAGAUAUGCCUGACCACAUGAUGUUUAAUGGUCCUUAUAGAUAUGCCUGUCCACAUUAUGUUUAAUGGUCCUUAUAGAUAUGCCUGUCCACAUGAUGUUUAAUGGUCCUUAUAGAUAUGCCUGUCCACAUUAUGUUUAAUGGUCCUUAUAGAUAUGCCUGUCCACAUUAUGUUUAAUGGUCCUUAUAGAUA
ensembl:lncRNA